rnacentral:rRNA from 1 species
AGCCCAACAGCUAGCCCACCUAACUAAUAUCAUCACGAACACACAACUACCCCCUAAAUUACUAAAACUAACCAACAAACCAUUUUCCCCCUCUAGUAUCAGAGACAGAAAAAGAACUAGGAGCAAUAGAGAAAGUACCGUAAGGGAACGCUGAAAGAGAAAUGAAACAAACCAGUCAAGCAUAAAAAAGCAGAGACUUAACCUCGUACCUUUUGCAUCAUGAAUUAGCUAGUAACCCCUAAGCAAAACGAAUUUUAGUUUAGUUUCCCGAAACUAGAUGAGCUACUCCAAGACAGCCUAGCAAUAGGGCAAACCCGUCUCUGUGGCAAAAGAGUGGGAAGAGCUUUGAGUAGAGGUGAAAAGCCUACCGAAUCUAGUAAUAGCUGGUUGCCUGAGAAAUGAAUAGGAGUUCAGCCUCUUCCCUUCUUCCCUCUAAAAUGGUUUUACCUCCCCCCAGAGUAAUAGAAAAGAAGAGAGUUAGUCAAAAAAGGGACAGCUUUUUUGAAAAAAGAUACAACUUUAAUAGGAGGUAAAAAAUCAAAUUAAAACAAGGCAUAAUGUUCUGGUGGGCCUAAAAGCAGCCACCCUAAAAGAAAGCGUUACAGCUCAAACAUCCUCACCGCCUUUAAUCCUGAUAACCAUAUUUUUCACCCCUUAACCUAACAGGCCCUUCUAUACCCUUAUAGAAGAGAUUAUGCUAAUAUGAGUAAUAAGAGAUAACGAAUCUCUCCAAGCAUAAGUGUAAAUCAGAACAGACCCCCUACCGAGAAUUAACGGCCCCAAAAAAAGAGGGAAUUGGAAAAACAAAUAAACAACUAGAAAACUAUCCAAUCUUCACCGUUAACCCCACACUGGCAUGCUACCAUGGAAAGACCUAAAGGAGAAGAAGGAACUCGGCAAACAUAUUUGGCCUCGCCUGUUUACCAAAAACAUCGCCUCUUGCUUAAAAAGUAUAAGAGGUCCCGCCUGCCCUGUGACAAAUAGUUUAACGGCCGCGGUAUCUUAACCGUGCGAAGGUAGCGCAAUCACUUGUUUCUUAAAUGGAGACCUGUAUGAAUGGCAUAACGAGGGCCAAGCUGUCUCCUUCUCCUAGUCAAUGAAAUUGAUCUUCCCGUGCAGAAGCGGGAAUAAGAACAUAAGACGAGAAGACCCUUUGGAGCUUAAGACUGAAAGUAGACCAUACUAAUAAUACCAAACAAAAGGAAACAAACCGACUGGAUCCACUACCCUAAUGUCUUUGGUUGGGGCGACCGCGGGGAAACAAAAAACCCCCAUGUGGAAUGGGAGGACCCUCCUCCCAAAACCAAGACCGACAGGUCUAAGUACCAGAAUUUCUGACCAAAAAGAUCCGGCAAAGCCGAUCAACGAACCGAGUUACCCUAGGGAUAACAGCGCAAUCCCCUUUUAGAGCCCAUAUCGACAAGGGGGUUUACGACCUCGAUGUUGGAUCAGGACAUCCUAAUGGUGCAGCCGCUAUUAAGGGUUCGUUUGUUCAACGAUUAAAGUCCUACGUGAUCUGAGUUCAGACCGGAGUAAUCCAGGUCAGUUUCUAUCUAUGAAAUGUUCUCUUCUAGUACGAAAGGACCGAAAAGAAGAGGCCCAUUCUUCAAGUAAGCCUCCCCCUUAC